rnacentral:lncRNA from 1 species
AAAUAAAUUAUUGCCAUUCAUUAUAAAUAAAUUUCUAUCAAAAAUAAGGCUCAAAGAACUUUUUAUAUUAUAUAUAUUAACAAUAACAACGAACACACAUGUUGGCGUAUGAAUACACAACGUCAGAGUGGGCGUGUCGCCAUCAAAAUUGACAACAUUGAAAAUAAAACUAAUAAUUUUAACCAAUCAGAAGACAGUAAAUACACCAAAUUUAUUUAUUGAAUUGACUGUUGCCUGUAAAUUUUUUCGAUCCAUUCCUCACAUAACAGUUGUAUCGUCAUGGUUGAUAUUAACCGUUAUAGGUCAUGAAAGAUAUAAGAGUAUCUACGGUAUAUUGUUAAAUACAAAGUCAGCAGAACGUAGUCUAACUUGUAAAGUAACCAGUUGGAUGAAAGGCAAGUCUAUUUUUUAUCAAAAUAAUCUAGUUCUCUGAUUGUCAUAUCUACUACAGUGCUUUCUACUCCGACAUUGUUCAUGCUUGGAAUUGAACCGGUUUCGCUGAAUAAUGGAACUUUGUGGGGAACUGAAUGCACAACGCACAAACAGUACAGAGGUAAACUGACUGCUGCAUUAUAUGUAGCGGCAGUUGGUUCUUUUAUUCGCGUAUUGUUCUUAUUGCUAUGGAAAGAUAUUAUAUCUUAUUUAUAAACAAUCUAAGAAAGAAAAAAAACAAGACGUGAAAACAGUAUUCAUCUAAGAGCUAAAGUUCACAAAGCACAACAAACCGCUAGCUACAGAAUGAGGACACCACACUACAAAGUUACAAUUAGCCUUAUUGUCGCAACUGGAAUCUCACUCCUUGGUUUCGUUCUAUAUUCGAUUGGAUCAGCAUUUGCUGGAACGUUUGAUUAAGCGCUAAAACGUGCUGUCAUAUUAUAACUGGUAUACUGAGAGACUGAAGCGCGCAUGUUUUAUAAAUAAUACAUUCAAUCCCGUCAUACAUUUUAUUUGUGACAACAAAUUCAGACAUGCUUGCAAAAAGCUGUAUAUUAAAUAAACCUUGUCAAACAAAACAAAACAAAGGCGUGAACAAACUGAACCUUCUAAAACAACAACUAUUUCCAUUUUUUUAGUAUUUAAAUUAUUUGGUUAGUUAUUCUCUUCAUUACAUUGACAAUGUAUUUUUAUGGAAAUAAAGUAGAAAAUGCAACAAUAUUUUUCUUACGAUUUCACAUGUUGCUUUGAUGCAGCGGCAACGUCUUGGGAAGUCUUGUUAUUUAUGAAAGCAAAGGAGUGAUAUUUUUGGUUUUUAUUUCUCGUGAAAAUCACAGAAAUUCA